GGCAGCAUGACCUAGCUUGCUAGGUUGAUGGCGAGUGGCGAACGGGUGAGUAAUGCAUCGGAACGUGCCUUUUAGUGGGGGAUAACGUAGCGAAAGUUACGCUAAUACCGCAUAUUCUGUGAGCAGGAAAGCAGGGGAUCGCAAGACCUUGCGCUGAUUGAGCGGCCGAUAUCAGAUUAGCUAGUUGGUGGGGUAAAGGCCUACCAAGGCGACGAUCUGUAGCGGGUCUGAGAGGAUGAUCCGCCACACUGGGACUGAGACACGGCCCAGACUCCUACGGGAGGCAGCAGUGGGGAAUUUUGGACAAUGGGCGCAAGCCUGAUCCAGCCAUGCCGCGUGAGUGAAGAAGGCCUUCGGGUUGUAAAGCUCUUUCGGCCGGGAAGAAAUCGCAUGGGCUAAUACCCUGUGUGGAUGACGGUACCGGAAUAAGAAGCACCGGCUAACUACGUGCCAGCAGCCGCGGUAAUACGUAGGGUGCGAGCGUUAAUCGGAAUUACUGGGCGUAAAGCGUGCGCAGGCGGUUUUUUAAGAUAGGCGUGAAAUCCCCGGGCUCAACCUGGGAACUGCGCUUAUGACUGGAAGACUAGAGUAUGGCAGAGGGGGGUGGAAUUCCACGUGUAGCAGUGAAAUGCGUAGAGAUGUGGAGGAACACCGAUGGCGAAGGCAGCCCCCUGGGCCAAUACUGACGCUC
rnacentral:rRNA from 1 species